rnacentral:tRNA from 1 species
GGUGGUUGUAGCUCAGUUGGUUAGAGCGCUAGAUUGUGGUUCUAGAGGUCGCCGGUUCGAGACCGGUCUUCCACCCCCA